GACGAACGCUGGCGGCGUGCCUAACACAUGCAAGUCGAGCGAUGAAACCCUUCGGGGUGGAUUAGCGGCGGACGGGUGAGUAACACGUGGGUAACCUGCCUCAAAGAGGGGGAUAGCCUCCCGAAAGGGAGAUUAAUACCGCAUAACAUUAGUUUUUCGCAUGAAGAACUAAUUAAAGGAGUAAUCCGCUUUGAGAUGGACCCGCGGCGCAUUAGCUAGUUGGUGAGGUAAAGGCUCACCAAGGCGACGAUGCGUAGCCGACCUGAGAGGGUGAUCGGCCACAUUGGAACUGAGACACGGUCCAGACUCCUACGGGAGGCAGCAGUGGGGAAUAUUGCACAAUGGGCGAAAGCCUGAUGCAGCAACGCCGCGUGAGUGAUGAAGGCCUUCGGGUUGUAAAGCUCUGUCUUUUGGGACGAUAAUGACGGUACCAAAGGAGGAAGCCACGGCUAACUACGUGCCAGCCGCCGCCGUAA
rnacentral:rRNA from 1 species